rnacentral:rRNA from 1 species
GAUGAACGCUGGCGGCGUGCCUAAUACAUGCAAGUCGAGCGAACGGACGAGAAGCUUGCUUUUCUGAUGUUAGCGGCGGACGGGUGAGUAACACGUGGAUAACCUACCUAUAAGACUGGGAUAACUUCGGGAAACCGGAGCUAAUACCGGAUAAUAUUUUGAACCGCAUGGUUCAUAAGUGAAAGACGGUCUUGCUGUCACUUAUAGAUGGAUCCGCGCUGCAUUAGCUAGUUGGUAAGGUAACGGCUUACCAAGGCAACGAUGCAUAGCCGACCUGAGAGGGUGAUCGGACACACUGGAACUGAGACACGGUCCAGACUCCUACGGGAGGCAGCAGUAGGGAAUCUUCCGCAAUGGGCGAAAGCCUGACGGAGCAACGCCGCGUGAGUGAUGAAGGUCUUCGGAUCGUAAAACUCUGUUAUUAGGGAAGAACAUAUGUGUAAGUAACUGUGCACAUCUUGACGGUACCUAAUCAGAAAGCCACGGCUAACUACGUG